AGCAGCCGCGGUAAUUCCAGCUCCAAUAGCGUAUAUUAAAGUUGUUGCAGUUAAAAAGCUCGUAGUUGAAUUUCGAGAUCAAAUUGUUGGUCGUGCCUCGGUACGUACUGGCAUUAUUGAUUUCUCCCUUCUGAAGAACCUUGAUGUCAUUAAUUUGGUGUCUUGGGGAAUCAGGACCGUUACUUUGAAAAAAUUAGAGUGUUUAAAGCAGGCUCACGCUUGAAUACAUUAGCAUGGAAUAAUGAAAUAGGACGUUUGAUUCUAUUUUGUUGGUUUCUAGGAUCGACGUAAUGAUUAAUAGGGAUAGUUGGGGGCAUUAGUAUUCAAUUGUCAGAGGUGAAAUUCUUGGAUUUAUUGAAGACUAACUACUGCGAAAGCAUUUGCCAAGGAUGUUUUCAUUAAUCAAGAACGAAGUUAGGGGAUCGAAGACGAUCAGAUACCGUCGUAGUCUUAACCAUAAACUAUGCCGACUAGGGAUCGGAUGAUGUUAAUUUUUUAAUGACUCAUUCGGCGCC
rnacentral:rRNA from 1 species